rnacentral:rRNA from 1 species
UACAGAGGUCUCAAGCGUUGUUCGGAUUCAUUGGGCGUAAAGGGUGCGUAGGCGGCGCGGUAAGUCGGGUGUGAAAUCUUGGAGCUUAACUCCGAAACUGCAUUCGAUACUGCCGUGCUUGAGGACUGGAGAGGAGACUGGAAUUUACGGUGUAGCGGUGAAAUGCGUAGAUAUCGUAAGGAAGACCAGUGGCGAAGGCGGGUCUCUGGACAGUUCCUGACGCUGAGGCACGAAGGUCAGGGGAGCAAACGGG